UUCUUUUAGUUUUUAUUAAAAGUAAGUUCUGCUCAGUGCAAAGUAAACAGCCGCGGUAUCUUGACUGUGCAAAGGUAGCAUAAUAAUUAGUCUUAUAAUUUAAGACUGGAAUGAAAGAAUUCACCAAAGAGCUUCUCUCUUUUUUAUAUAUAUUAAAUUUUACUUUUUAGUUAAAAGGCUAAAAUAAUUCUUUUAGACAAGAAGACCCUAUAAAGCUUUACAUAUUAAAAUUUAAGAAAUUUUCAUUAUGUUUAACUGGGGCGGUAAAAAGACAAACACUUUUAAAUUAUUAAAUAUUUUAAUAUUAAUAUCCAAAACUUUUGAAAAUUAAAUAAGUUACUUUAGGGAUAACAGCGUUAUAUAUUUAAAGAGUUCUAAUCGAAAAAUAUGUUUGCGACCUCGAUGUUGAAUUAAAUUUUCUUUAUUAUGCAAAAGUAAUAUAAGAAGGUCUGUUCGACCUUUAAAAAUUUCCA
rnacentral:rRNA from 1 species